rnacentral:rRNA from 1 species
GAUGAACGCUGGCGGCGUGCCUAAUACAUGCAAGUCGAGCGAACAGAUGAGGAGCUUGCUCCUCUGACGUUAGCGGCGGACGGGUGAGUAACACGUGGAUAACCUACCUAUAAGACUGGGAUAACUUCGGGAAACCGGAGCUAAUACCGGAUAAUAUAUUGAACCGCAUGGUUCAAUAGUGAAAGACGGUUUUGCUGUCACUUAUAGAUGGAUCCGCGCCGCAUUAGCUAGUAGGUAAGGUAACGGCUUACCAAGGCAACGAUGCGUAGCCGACCUGAGAGGGUGAUCGGCCACACUGGAACUGAGACACGGUCCAGACUCCUACGGGAGGCAGCAGUAGGGAAUCUUCCGCAAUGGGCGAAAGCCUGACGGAGCAACGCCGCGUGAGUGAUGAAGGUCUUCGGAUCGUAAAACUCUGUUAUUAGGGAAGAACAAAUGUGUAAGUAACUAUGCACGUCUUGACGGUACCUAAUCAGAAAGCCACGGCUAACUACGUG